CGCCGGCCCGACCUGCGGCCGCUCGACCUCUUCUCCAUGUCGUCCGAAUCGUCGCAAUCCUCGGCCCCCGGAGAGCCCACGGCCGGCUGGUCCCCCGCGGACACCUCCGUCUUACUCAGCCGUGAACAGGGUGCCCAGCUUCCCUAAGACUGGCUUCCUCCUGCUGUCAUCUGGUGGCUGUGCCCUGGACUGAAAAAGAAACCGGGACAGGGAGAGAAAAGAUGAGACUCGUUCCUGCCUCGAGUGGUGGAUCACCGACCGCUACGAACCCAAGAGGCCACAGGGGACUGACACCCGCAAUGUCCUUAGGGGCUUUCCAACAAAACGAACUUAAGCAAAUGUUUUUCUUAAACACAAGUUUUCGAGGCUCCGUUCUUUAGAAUAACAUUUCCUUUCGUUAUAACUUGUGUUUAAAGAAAAGAAUCGAAUGGUGCAAAUAAUGGCAUGCACUGUAAACAAU